rnacentral:rRNA from 1 species
GCCACGCCCGCUCAGAAACUUAAAGGAAUUGACGGGGCCCGCACAAGCGGUGGAGUAUGUGGUUUAAUUCGAUGCAACGCGAAGAACCUUACCUGGUCUUGACAUCCCGGAGACCCUUAGGAAACUAGGGGGUGCUUCCAUCUGGAAGAAUCUGGAGACAGGUGCUGCAUGGCUGUCGUCAGCUCGUGUCGUGAGAUGUUGGGUUAAGUCCCGCAACGAGCGCAACCCUUGCCUUUAGUUGCCAGCAGUUCGGCUGGGCACUCUAAAGGGACUGCCGGUGUUAAACCGGAGGAAGGUGGGGAUGACGUCAAGUCCUCAUGGCCUUUAUGACCAGGGCUACACACGUACUACAAUGGCCGAUACAAAGGGCAGCGACACUGCGAGGUGAAGCCAAUCCCGUAAAAUCGGUCUCAGUCCGGAUUGGAGUCUGCAACUCGACUCCAUGAAGUUGGAAUCGCUAGUAAUCGUGGAUCAGCAUGCCACGGUGAAUACGUUCCCGGGCCUU